UACGAGUGCCCCGAGCGUUAUCCGGAAUCAUUGGGCGUAAAGGGUGUGUAGGUGGUUCUGUUAGUCUUCAGUUAAAUCCAGCUGCUUAACAGAUGGGCUGCGGAGGUUACUAUAAGACUAGGAGGCAGGAGAGGCAAGCGGUACUCAGUGGGUAGGGGUAAAAUCCGUUGAUCCAUUGAAGACCACCAGUGGCGAAGGCGGCUUGCCAGAAUGCGCUCGACGGUGAGGGAUGAAAGCUGGGGGAGCAAACCGG
rnacentral:rRNA from 1 species